rnacentral:lncRNA from 1 species
GUUAAUUUUCGUAUAUAAUAGAAAACAUUGUUAUCAUUUUGGAGAGUGAAAUAUGUCUGCAUUAGGAACAUCUCUUAUGUGUCCGCAUUAGGAACCUCUCUAGCAAGUUAAGCGUACAAAAGAUAGACAGUUCAGAAAUUAUAUCCCUGGUGGUUGAUCCAUAAAUCCCGUCAGUCAGAUUCAAACCUGCCAUUCAUAAUCUAUCUCAUGUAUAUAUCUGUCUCGAAUGCUCACGUUUCU